rnacentral:rRNA from 1 species
AACGAACGCUGGCGGCAGGCCUAACACAUGCAAGUCGAGCGAGACCUGCGGGUCUAGCGGCGGACGGGUGAGUAACGCGUGGGAAUAUGCCCUUUGGUACGGAAUAGCCUCGGGAAACUGAGCGUAAUACAGUAUGUGCCCGCAGGGGGAAAGAUUUAUCGCCAAAGGAUUAGCACGCGUUGGAUUAGGUAGUUGGUGGGGUAAUGGCCUACCAAGCCUACGAUCCAUAGCUGGUUUGAGAGGAUGAUCAGCCACACCGGGACUGAGACACGGCCCAGACUCCUACGGGAGGCAGCAGUGGGGAAUCUUAGACAAUGGGGGCAACCCUGAUCUAGCCAUGCCGCGUGAGUGAUGAAGGCCUUAGGGUUGUAAAGCUCUUUCAGCUGGGAAGAUAAUGACGGUACCAGCAGAAGAAGACCCGGCUAACUCCGUGCCAGCAGCCGCCGCGGUAA